rnacentral:lncRNA from 1 species
AACGGAGCUGGCGGCGUAUCCCAAAGUGGCCGCAAGAAGUAUGUAACUUUCCGGUAAUCUGUAUAGAAUCCUAACAUACAUGCAGACACAAAUAUCAACAGUAGGAGAUAAAAGAAGUUGCGUGGAGUUCGUCUGGAAAUAGGACGAAGAGAUCGUGGUGCCAUGCCGUGAAGGAUAUUUCUUUUCUUUUUGAAAGUAUAGCCGGGUGGUGCUGCCAUCAAGCCUUGAUUAAAGAAACCGCGGAAUCCAUAACGGGACGUGGUGCCUAUACCCCAAUUUACAAAACGCAUAUCAAGAGAACUUCCUGAAAUUAAUACAACAUCGAGGUUUAGGAGGUUUAGGAGGGUCAAAAAUCAUAGCUCUAACAAUCUUGAUCUACCUGCAUAGAGAAAACGUUUUUAAAUCAUGAUGAUAAACAAUGUACCUCACUUUUGCACAAAUUGUAAUACUACCUGGUUUGCUUUAUCAUAACUUAAAGUGACUGAAAGUGAGAUUCUUGAAAACCCACCAUGUCAUCUGAUAAAGGGGAAUUGAAAAGCCCUCUGGCAAAUAUUCAAAUACAUCGAUCAUAUGUUUUACACCCAACAAAUCGAUCAAGAAAAACCAUGUCUAUCAUAGUUUGUUUGCUCACACCAUAAGACAUCAGUUCUAGAGCCUAUCUAGCAUUUUAUGAAACAGCAACCAAAUCUCUCUUAGAUAAUUCAGGGUCUAAUAUGCAUUCAGAAAUUCAAAUCCUAAAUUAAGAAAUCAAAGAGGACAAUGAAACCAAUAAGACAGAGAUAUAUACCUCUAGUGUCCGCAGGUACAAGAGAGCAAAGGAGGACGGCAAAGCCUAAAAUGGCAGAAAUUCUUGAGUUUGAGACUGAGCAGUCACCGUCUUAAUUAUAAAGAUCAACAAAGUGGAUAUGGACAAAAUUUGGUAGCUUUGUAAUAAACGCCGGUGCGGCGAUUCUCAAGUCUUAGUGUUUAUGUAGAUUUUGUUAAGUGUAUGACUUGUGUUGGGCUUAAUUAAAUAAAGCCUAACUAAACUUGUAGUUAGAGAUUUUAUAAAUUUGCUGGCCGAAUUUAAAAAGUUUGCUGGGUGUGCUUAUACUAAUUUUAAAAUGGAAUUGAAAUAGUCCUGUAACUGCUGUUUAUAGCUAAUAUUAAGAUUCAAGUUGUUAAUUAAGUCGGUGAAUUGAACGAUUCAUACCUAUAACAAUGCCUAAAGUUAAUGAAGCCUCUGAUAUAUGCAUGUCUCAUAAAGAGAGUAGGAAAACCAAGUACAAUCUUACGCCAUAGCAAAAGUGAUAAUAUAUUUGGCUAAUCGCAUCACACAAAUGUGCUUCUUAACUUGUAUGAAAAAUAUAUAUGAUUACAAUCAUAGAAUCAUAGCUAUGAAUUGAGUUAUAUGAUCCAAAUAAAAACUUACCAAGACAGUGUGGACUAAACCAAAUAGGUCGGAAAUGUGGAGUGUCUCAAGGGUUCUGACUUUUGUGCCGCCCUAGAUUAUUAACAAAUCUUGGCCGCCUGAAUUUCUAGUGCACUACUUUGUUAUUUGGAACCAAGCAAAUUAGGCAUCAGGUUGGUCAGCUUUUUGAUGCAUAAAUCCAUUCAGUAGUCCAUUCUAUAAACUGGUGGUCUUGGUCUUGGUCUUGGACUAUGCUUCGAUUCAUUUAUAAUAGGAGCAUGCGUGUCCCUGUGAUUGACUUUGAAAGUUGUGGCGACUACACCGACCCGGAGUACACGUACAUUUCAAUCACAGUCAAGUGUUACGAACGAUUUAAGCCAUGCUUUCAAAAGAUGCGAGUUGAAAGAAAACGCUACCCUGAUAUAAAUCAAUGAGCAAACAUGUCACGUGACACGACUAACUCACGUAUUAUUGUUAAGUUUGCGUAUAUUUUUAAAUAGAUGCAUACUGCUAAAUGGAGACGUAACUACAAGUUGAUUAGUUUUGACAGUUAAUUGAAAGAGUCGAACAUGUCACGUGACACGACUAACUCACGUAUUACAUAUUGUUAAGUUUGUGUACAUUUUCAAAUGGAUGCAUACUACUAAAUGGAGACGUAACUACAAGUUGAUUAGUUUUAACAGUUAAUUGAAAAAGUC